rfam:Schistosoma mattheei strain Denwood, Zambia genome assembly, scaffold: SMTD_scaffold0000285
UCCCGUAUAGUCUAGCGGUUAGGAUUCCUGGCUUUCACCAAGGUUACCCAGGUUCGACUCCCAGCGUGGGAG